rnacentral:rRNA from 1 species
CCUACGGGUGGCAGCAGUGGGGAAUAUUGCACAAUGGGCGCAAGCCUGAUGCAGCCAUGCCGCGUGUGUGAAGAAGGCCUUCGGGUUGUAAAGCACUUUCAGCGGGGAGGAAGGCGGUGAGGUUAAUAACCUCAUCGAUUGACGUUACCCGCAGAAGAAGCACCGGCUAACUCCGUGCCAGCAGCCGCGGUAAUACGGAGGGUGCAAGCGUUAAUCGGAAUUACUGGGCGUAAAGCGCACGCAGGCGGUCUGUCAAGUCGGAUGUGAAAUCCCCGGGCUCAACCUGGGAACUGCAUUCGAAACUGGCAGGCGAGAGUCUUGUAGAGGGGAGUAGAAUUCCAGGUGUAGCGGUGAAAUGCGUAGAGAUCUGGAGGAAUACCGGUGGCGAAGGCGGCCCCCUGGACAAAGACUGACGCUCAGGUGCGAAAGCGUGGGGAGCAAACAGGAUUAGAUACCCGAGUAGUC